rfam:Camelus ferus unplaced genomic scaffold scaffold1286, whole genome shotgun sequence.
GAGGGUAUAGCUCAGUGACAGAGUGUGUACUUGGCAAGUACAAGGUCCUGGGUUCAAUCCCCAGUGCCUCCA